UACGUAGGGUGCAAGCGUUAAUCGGAAUUACUGGGCGUAAAGCGUGCGCAGGCGGUUGUGCAAGACCGAUGUGAAAUCCCCGGGCUCAACCUGGGAAUGGCAUUGGUGACUGCACGGCUAGAGUGCGUCAGAGGGGGGUAGAAUUCCACGUGUAGCAGUGAAAUGCGUAGAGAUGUGGAGGAAUACCGAUGGCGAAGGCAGCCCCCUGGGAUAACACUGACGCUCAUGCACGAAAGCGUGGGGAGCAAACAGG
rnacentral:rRNA from 1 species